UUUCAGACUUCAAAGCUGAAGAAGAUGAGCUACACUGGACUGAAGCUCAACAAAUUGGACCUAAAUCUGAUCUUGCAGGAAUUUUACUAAAUGUAAUUCAUCUGACCUAAAUAGAGCUACUCCUAAAGUGACAGAACGAGGCCAUAAUUUGUAUAAGCGAGAGACCAGAGAAAUCAGAUUCAGGUAUUUACUUCCAUAGCAGCAACUUGGGCAAAGAACAAGAUUGAAAUCCAUGGCUUUCCCCACACCAGGCUCUCAAGCAGAGAUUCCUCCAGGACUUCCAGCUCCUCCAAGGGGAUUCUCAGCAGCCAGCUGACGUGGCAGAUCAACACCC